GGAUUGUGGCUCAGCGGUAGAGUGCUCGCCUGGCACGUGCAGGGCACUAGGUUCGAUUCUUAGCACCA
rnacentral:tRNA from 1 species